CGACGCCGCGUGAGGGAUGAAGGCCUUCGGGUUGUAAACCUCUUUCGGCAGGGACGAAGCGAUCAGUGACGGUACCUGCAGAAGAAGCCCCGGCUAACUACGUGCCAGCAGCCGCGGUAAGACGUAGGGGGCGAGCGUUGUCCGGAUUCAUUGGGCGUAAAGCGCGCGUAGGCGGCCGCGCAAGUCGGGUGUGAAACCCCGGGGCUCAACCCCGGAACUGCAUCCGAUACUGCGUGGCUAGAGGUAGGUAGGGGAGAUCGGAAUUCCUGGUGUAGCGGUGAAAUGCGCAGAUAUCAGGAGGAACACCGGUGGCGAAGGCGGAUCUCUGGGCCUUACCUGACGCUCAGGCGCGAAAGCUAGGGGAGCGAACAGGAUUAGAUACCCUGGUAGUCCUAGCCGUAAACGUUGGGUGCUAGGUGUGGGCGGAUAUCGACCCCGUCCGUGCCGGAGCUAACGCAUUAAGCACCCCGCCUGGGGAGUACGGCCGCAAGGCUAAAACUCAAAUG
rnacentral:rRNA from 1 species